rnacentral:rRNA from 1 species
UACGGAGGGUGCGAGCGUUGUCCGGAAUCACUGGGCGUAAAGGGCGCGUAGGCGGUCGGGGAAGUCCGUGGUGAAAGCUCGUGGCUCAACUGCGAGUCGGCCAUGGAUACUCCUGGACUUGAGCACUGUAGAGGCAGGUGGAAUUCCGGGUGGAGUGGUGAAAUGCGUAGAGAUCCGGAGGAACACCAGAGGCGAAGGCGGCCUACUGGGCUGCACCUGACGCUGAGCCGCGAAAGCCAGGGGGAGCGAACGGG